CGGGCCGUAGCGCAGUUUGGUAGCGCACCUGAAUGGGGUUCAGGGGGUCGGCGGUUCGAAUCCGCCCGGCCCGA
rnacentral:tRNA from 2 species